GGGAGGGUGGGGAGGGUCUGGAGAGUCCCUGAAGCCUACCAGUUAGAAGGAAGUGACGAGAUUCCCAUGUGUCCUGGUACCGGUUACGUCAUACUCUGUCCAUCAGUUGGGGGAAAGGAGGAUCUAUCAGUUAGGAAUCGAAAUUUAAACUAUGAUGGAAGCUCAAUUAAACAUUACUCCUUCCAACUUCAGUGAACCCAGGACCGGCCAUGGUGAGAGGGUGCUUGGGUCCUCAAGCCAGGUGGGAAGGAGGUAACCUGGCAGUGGAUUCUCCUGUGCUCUAUGCCAAUUCAUCUGAGCAAGAACAAAAUAUUUCCAACCCCAUUGCUUAUUUUCUCUUUUUUUUCUGA